CGCAUUAGUAGCUCAGCGUCAGAGCCCCG
rnacentral:tRNA from 2 species